AGGCGAAUCAGGAUGAAUGUAGACACGCGGAGGGACGGGAGAGUCGGCGUUACCCGCUACCAUCCACUUCGAGCUGUGGUACACGUACUUGGAAUGGAAAAAAAAUUGUCUCAUGACCUUCAGGUCCAGCAGGUCAAGCUCCCAAAAGGGCAUCGCAAAAGGCCGGACUGAACAUGUCAACAACUUCCGGGAGUGCCAUUUGUGGAGACGGGAACAAUAUCCAUCGCGAUAUAAUACUGUUGAUGAGGAUCCAGUCCCGCAAUCUUAACUCUCAUCGCGGGAAACAUUCGCCUGGGAUAAAAUGACAUUGUAUAUUAAUAUUUUCGUUUGGCCUAUAGGCUGCAUCACAUUGAGGCAAAAUCCAGAUUUCCUAAGUGCGCAGUUUUUACCUUAAUGUGGGCAUAAUUUUUCAAACCAUAUAAAAACACAGUAUGUUACCCGUUUACGUGAAAUAUACUUUUCCCCAAAUAUAUAAUUUUAAUUAAUUUAGUGUAACUGUUAUAUUUGUUCAUUAAUUUAAAUAAAUUGUCAAUAUGAAUAUAUACAAUUCCACAAAAAUCAACAUCAUAUACAAACGUAGCUAAGUAAUGCACAAAACCACUCCUUAUAUAAAUAAAUAAAUAUAUGUUUUUUUUUUUAAUCUUCGGCAUUUUGGCACUUUUAGGGACAUUUUAAAAAAUUGUUUGUUAAAUGUAUUCAAUUCCUUCAUGUAGCCUAUCUGAAAGUAACAUUUACAUCUAACAUCAGUCAAAAGAGACUAGCGUAUUUUACUAAGAAUGUACUGUCUUUAUAUUACAACUAUAUACAAAUACAAAUGUUGAAUAUGGUGAUAUUUAGUUGAUGAUUAUGAAAUUGUACAGCAUGUUUUGUGUGAUGCACCUGCCGGCUUUGGUGAUGAUCAUUUCAGUUCCUAUCUCGUGGAAUCGCUUCCACAAGUCUGAGCCUUGCAGGUCCACGCGCAUCUCCUCCCCGGAGCUCGUGCCUGAUUGCACGAGGACCUGCGAGCCUUGGGAUGCAGGUUGUGGGCUAUCCAACAACACGUCCUCAGACUCCGCUGAGAAAGACAGAAAAAAAGCGGUCUUAAUUAUUUUAUAUUUUAACUACCCGCAGGAAACUUUUAAUUUAAACUACUGUUGCAAUAACGACUGUUGAAGUGGCACAAAAAAGGAUUUGCGAUGGUUUUCUGACUCGCAUGCUCUUCCUGGCUCAUUGCAUGUAUUUACAGACUUUUUAUAUUGUAAUGUUGUUAAACAUUAAAAUGCAAUUAUACAUAA